GAGUUUGAUCCUGGCUCAGGAUGAACGCUAGCGGGAGGCCUAACACAUGCAAGCCGAGCGGUAUGAUUCUUUCGGGAAUCAGAGAGCGGCGUACGGGUGCGGAACACGUGUGCAACCUGCCUUUAUCUGGGGGAUAGCCUUUCGAAAGGAAGAUUAAUACCCCAUAAUAUAUUGAGUGGCAUCACUUAAUAUUGAAAACUCCGGUGGAUAGAGAUGGGCACGCGCAAGAUUAGAUAGUUGGUGGGGUAACGGCCUACCAAGUCGAUGAUCUUUAGGGGGCCUGAGAGGGUGAUCCCCCACACUGGUACUGAGACACGGACCAGACUCCUACGGGAGGCAGCAGUGAGGAAUAUUGGACAAUGGGUGCAAGCCUGAUCCAGCCAUCCCGCGUGAAGGACGACGGCCCUAUGGGUUGUAAACUUCUUUUGUACAGGGAUAAACCUAGAUACGUGUAUCUAGCUGAAGGUACUGUACGAAUAAGCACCGGCUAACUCCGUGCCAGCAGCCGCGGUAAUACGGAGGGUGCAAGCGUUAUCCGGAUUUAUUGGGUUUAAAGGGUCCGUAGGCGGAUCAGUAAGUCAGUGGUGAAAUCUCAUAGCUUAACUAUGAAACUGCCAUUGAUACUGCUGGUCUUGAGUAAGGUAGAAGUAGCUGGAAUAAGUAGUGUAGCGGUGAAAUGCAUAGAUAUUACUUAGAACACCAAUUGCGAAGGCAGGUUACUAUGUCUUAACUGACGCUGAUGGACGAAAGCGUGGGGAGCGAACAGGAUUAGAUACCCUGGUAGUCCACGCUGUAAACGAUGCUAACUCGUUUUUGGGUUUUCGGAUUCAGAGACUAAGCGAAAGUGAUAAGUUAGCCACCUGGGGAGUACGAACGCAAGUUUGAAACUCAAAGGAAUUGACGGGGGCCCGCACAAGCGGUGGAUUAUGUGGUUUAAUUCGAUGAUACGCGAGGAACCUUACCAAGGCUUAAAUGGGAAUUGAUCGGUUUAGAAAUAGACCUUCCUUCGGGCAAUUUUCAAGGUGCUGCAUGGUUGUCGUCAGCUCGUGCCGUGAGGUGUUAGGUUAAGUCCUGCAACGAGCGCAACCCCUGUCACUAGUUGCCAUCAUUAAGUUGGGGACUCUAGUGAGACUGCCUACGCAAGUAGAGAGGAAGGUGGGGAUGACGUCAAAUCAUCACGGCCCUUACGCCUUGGGCCACACACGUAAUACAAUGGCCGGUACAGAGGGCAGCUACACAGCGAUGUGAUGCAAAUCUCGAAAGCCGGUCUCAGUUCGGAUUGGAGUCUGCAACUCGACUCUAUGAAGCUGGAAUCGCUAGUAAUCGCGCAUCAGCCAUGGCGCGGUGAAUACGUUCCCGGGCCUUGUACACACCGCCCGUCAAGCCAUGGAAGUCUGGGGUACCUGAAGUCGGUGACCGUAAAAGGAGCUGCCUAGGGUAAAAC
rnacentral:rRNA from 1 species